rnacentral:pre_miRNA from 1 species
CCGCGGCUCCUGAUUGUCCAAACGCAAUUCUCGAGUCUCCGGCUCGGCCGAGAGUUGAGUCUGGACGUCCCGAGCCGCCGCC